AUCGCUACAAAAAAAUUAAGGUAAAUUCACAGCCAACUUCAUGAAUAAUUCGUACAAAACAUAAAAGCUAAAAACUCAGAAAAGAGCAGCACAAAUCUAAAUAUAAAAUAAAUUGAUUAUGUACUAGAAUCAAUGAUCACAACAACAACAGUAAUACUACUCAACUCAUACAAACAAUAUAGAUCCAGCAAUCAAUACAUAUAAUCUCUACAUAGGGACAUGAAUAGAGAGAAAGAGAGAAUUAUACACUAAUGCUACUCAAAUCUCCACUCCUACUAAAGUUCCACACAGGUAAACGAGAAAAUCCAUGAGCUAAGCUCAGAUCCGAAGAGAAGAACCGAAGGCAAGAGCAGCAACAGCGCCAACAACCCCGGCGACGAAGGACGGCGAAACAGCAACGGCGGGAGACGUCGGACUCGGUGCCGGAGCGUCGGCGGCGGAGAUAACGGCGACGAGUACCGACAUUACGGCGAUGAACAUUGCUUUAGAGAAAGCCAUUGGAUUUAUCACAAAUUUUCUGAUUUCUGUGUUUAGGGUUUGGGUUGCGUUGGGCGCAGUGAGAGUUCGUUUUGAGGAGAGGCGAAAAUGGUGGUUUAUAUAGAAGGAGGGAGGAGAGGUACGGGCAGUUCGGGUAGUUGCCCGAAGUACAGACUGGCAAUAGGUCCAUUGCCAGCUGGAUCUGCUUCUAUUCUGAAAAAUCAGGUUUCACAUGACUAUUUCACCACGACGCCGUUUCGCUCGCCUGAGGUUCCUUGUCCCAGUGGCUCGUGCUCUCACUUUCACGCACAACAUCUACAACUACAAUGAUUAUUAUUUAUAAUAAAUUAUGCAUGUGAUAAAUACAUUUUCAGUUUAUAAAUUUUUAUACGAAACUAAAAUUCAUGUAUAAAAUUUUGGUCUCUAAAUAUAUAUAUAUAUAUAUAUAUAUAUAUAUAUAUAUAUAUAUAUAUAUAUAUAUAUAUAUAUAUAUAUAUUUAUAUAUAUAUAUUUAAUUUGACGUGUCACAUUUUUGUGUUAUCAUAUAAGUUAUUUAUAUUAUUUAAUAUAUUUUCGCUUUUAUAAUAAAUAAAAUUUUUGUUUUAUAUAUUAAAAAAAAUUAACUUAAUUAAUUAAAAAAAUUACAUUCAUUCAUUUUUAAAUUUUAAUACUAAAUUAUAUCAAAUUUUUAACACAAAUUUUAAUUUCAAAACUAAAAAUAUACUUAAUCUUACGAUUAACCUUUUACAAUAAUAUGUAAUAAAACAUAUUUACUUGACAUAUAUUUUGUUUUAUAAUUUUACAAUUUUAAAUUUUCAUAAUUUUAAAAGAUAAUUUGUAAUUUCAUAAUUUUAUAAUUUAAAAAAAUAUUCAUAUGUAAUAGAACACAUUUAUUGAUAAUUUCAUAACUAUACAAUUUUAUGAUUUUAAAAUUUCAUAAUUUUAAAUUUUACAAUUUUACAAUUUUAUGAUUUUUAAUUUCACAAUUUUAAAAAUUUUAAAAUUUUAUAGUAUAUUGUAACAUUCCUAUUUCUUAUAGGAUUCAUUAUACUUUAAUAAUAAAAAAUAGUUAACUUAAGAAAAGUAUAUAAAAUGUUAUUACAAAUAAUCCAAAAAUAAUUUAUAAUAGCAAAUAUAUAUUAAAACCUAGAACAUUAUAAGAUAAUAUAAUGAACCAUAAAUGUGAUAAGGUAAUUAUAUUAACGAACAAAACUUGAAACUAAAUAUUAUGUAUUACGUCUUAGAUCUAGCUCUUCUUAGCAUCUAUUUCGAAAGAUAUUUCCCUGAACUCACGUUACAUAGGUGAUUAUUGCAAAAAAAAAAAAAAAAAAAGAAGCAAAACAAACAGAGAAGAAAGGGUAAGGUAGUUUAUCAAAGAAUACAUAUAAACUUGUUAUACAAUGUCAUUCUUAUAAUUCAACUAUGAACAACCAAACAAUAUUCAUACACAUUUUAUCAUUAAUUCUAGAUUGACCAUCCAAAUACAUGUAUUGAUAUCGAACUAUAGUAGUCCUGCCUUUAAGGUGGUAUAACAACAUCAACAACAACAUCAUCAUCCCCAUCAAUCAAUCAUCACACUCCAAGGUUAAUCCUUUCAAGCAUCUAUGACUAACGAAUAACCAAUAGACUAGGGACCUCGUGCUACUUUUCACCACAUAAUCAUCUUUGUCUUCUUGAGACUGGAGGUUAUUGAGAGCGUCAAAAUGACCUCUAAUUCUAGCUUCCUAUAUCAAUACAUACACAUACACUUACACACUUAACCAUUUCAAAGGAAUUUUCCUUGAACUCCUUAUAACCAUCAUUUACAUGCCAUCACUCUUUUCCAUCAUGUUACAUCAAAUAAACAUUUCACGAAAUAAAUCCAAAAACAAAUGAGAAAUAAAAAGCAAUAACAACCAAACAAACUCAAACCACUCGUCUAGCCAACAGACACAACUCAUCCAGUCAACACAGACAACUCGUCCAAUGAGAGUCCAAACAGGGAGCCUCCCUAGCCCAGCGAGGAAGCUCGCCUAACCCUUACUUUACUACCAAAACCCCCAAAGACUCUCCCAGAGAGCAGUCCCUACUCGUCUAACAAGAGCCAAAAUAGCAGGCUCCCCAAGCUUAGCGAGCUGGCUCGCUCAGCCUCUGGAACUCACUACCAGAACUUGUGACACUCGGGCAUUGACAAGGGCGGGGAGUGAUCGCCGGUGCAAGAGGCACAAACAAGGAGCGGCUCCUGGCAGGCUUCCAGUGGAAAGGGCACAAGAAUCAAACAUACACCGGAAUGAGACUAUACAGUUGAAGGAUAGCUUAAAGGAAUUAAUUUGGCUAUUCAUAUCAAAAAAUGCAUUUGCUUCUCGAUAGCCUAACCCGUAAGAACUCCAUGGUUAAACGUGAUUAGCCUGGAGUAAUUUAGAGAUAGGUGACCUUUUGGAAAGUUUUCCUGGAAAGUGUGCGAGUGAGAAUAAAGCACAUUGAAAAGCCUAACCCGUAAGAAAUCCAUGGUUAAACGUGAUUAGCCUGGAGUAAUUUAGAGAUAGGUGACCUUUUGGAAAGUUUUCCUGGAAAGUGUGCGAGUGAGGAUAAAGCACAUUGAAAAGCCUCAUGUUGAUGUGUGGGGGCAGUCAAUAUUCACUAUAAGUUGUCGGGGCGUUACAGAACUCAUAUAAACUCGUCCAGCAAGCUACUCGUGUUCGCCUAACCUCGCUGCAUAAUUCUAGAGCACCAAAACUGAAGAAUUAACACUCCUAAAUCUCUCAUAACCUUUUCUAACCAUUUUUACCGACUUCUAACACUUCCAUUUUGUACUUUAAGCUACAAAUAACUUGUCCAAACAUGUACGAUUCAACUAAAACUAAAACUAAACUCGUUUUGUAAUGAAAUUCUAACUUAAACUAACUAUAACUUCAACCUAUAGACCAUAACUCAAAUUUACUACUUCUAACUCGUAACUUAGUCAUUUAGGGGUAUGACCAAAUCACAAAAGACACAAUAACAUACCCCAUACACACCACUUGACUUAAGUCCACUUACUUUGAAAACUUACUACUUAGAACCUCUAAAAUGCACCAAAAUUCAGUUUAAAACACCACUUACUAUUUACUACAUACUUGUAGACCAAUUAUUUACUAAUUUACCACAUAACUAAGUCUCAAAUAAUCACACAACAAUUAUUAACUUACCAUAUCUUCUUGUAGACCAUUAUUUCUCAAACUCACCUAUCCGCACUUCCAUUUUUAGGCUAAAACUGACCUACAACCAAACUUAACCAUUCUUUUCCCAAAAUUCCCAUUAAAUAUCAUCACUAGCUUCUCAAACAUAGGAAUUCAACAUUGGGAUCAAUUCCAAACAUAUUCAUCACCUUCUAAAACAUUCAACCAGAUUCACACCACUAAAUUCAUUCAAUCAAACAUGCAUACUAUGACAUAACACACAAUUCAAGCAUCAAGGUUAACAUACAUUCAACUCACAUACUGUUAACUACCAAACUUUGUAGCUCAAUUAAAAGAAAUCACUAGCUUCAAUUACCUAUUUAGAAGACCAACCACUUUAGAGUCCUUAUUUUGUUCACAUAGCUUGAGAAGGUCUAUCUGUAUUUAUAAAAACAAAAACAAGAUCAUGAUAUAUCGUUAGUGUCACUGAUCAAUAACGAGUCUUAUAAAAGACUUGAACCUUAUAUACAACAGAAAAAAAAAGGACCAAAGAAAAUAGGUGGAAACUUAACUUACUCAAAUGGAGUAACUGAUCGGUCUGAAUUGUAAAGAUCGUCGUCAAAUCACUCCUACGGUCUCAGUUCUUCAAUCAGAUGAACAAAGAAGAAUAAUUUAUAGAAAAAAGUUAAAGAACUCUAGAAAAGUGAUUUCUAGAGAGAUUUUGUGUUAUAAAAUAAUAAAACUCAUUUAUAACAAAACUAUUUAUAUUAAAACUAUUUAUAUUAAAACCAUUUAAUAUUAAAAUAAUUAAGUCUCACUCCUUUUACAUCACUACUUCUAAAAUGUCAUUUUCUAGAAUAUUAAAUAUAUAAUUAUUAAAUUUUAUAAUUUUAUAUAAUUAACUUUAAAAACGAAAUUCAUUAAUUACGACCAACUCUUAAGAAAGAUUUCAUCCCCAUAUAUUUUUUAACAAAAUAUAUGACAAGACUUAAGUAUGGUGAACAAAAAGGAUAAUUAUCAUCUUAUGUCUAGAAAAUCUAUCGAUUGAAAAGUUAUAAAAUUUAUAAAUUCAAUAAUCAUAUAAAUUUAAUUGAAAUUCAAUUAAAAGUUGUGGGACUCAAAAUUUAAUUAAAUUAAUUUUAAAUAACAUAAUGUUUUAUAUUUAGUUAUAUCUUUUUUAUUUUUUGUUUGAAAAAUUCUUCAAAUUACUAUAAUAUUGCAAUAUUACUUUUGACUAACAAAAAAAAUGUCUAUUAUAUUUUGUAAUUAUUAGGUCAUAGGAAAACGUGCAGAGAGGCGCGUGAACGGAGAAAACCUAAAAAUUGAAUUUAAUGUUAUUAAUACCAUCUAAAUGAUAAGGUAACGUUGCUUCUAAAGUAAGCAAUUAAAAGCAUUUAUUCUUUUACUUAAUUGUUAGGAAAUUAUUAAUUUUAUUACAAAGGUAUUUAGAAUAACAAAUUAGUACGUGUGUAAUUAAAAUUAAUUAAGUUUGAAGUAUCAUUUUGGCUAUUUAUGUAUGAUUCUGAGGAUGGGAAAAAAUUAUAGACGCGUAAAUAAAUAAAAUGAUUUAGGUAAGUGAUGCUUAAAAAAACUAUCAUAAAUUAUGUAAAAGUUUAUAUUAUAUAUAUAAUUAUUUAUACUUAUCUAAGGAAUUUCUGUUUUUUCCAUAUUUACAAAAUAAAUAAAACUUACUUAUAAUAAAAUUAUAAAAAUUAUUUAUCUAACUUUAGAAUUAUAAUAAUAACAACAAUAAUAAUUUUAUUAUUUUUUAUUACUCGUUAUAUAAAACGGAUUUAUUCUUUUUGUAUAUAUAUUUUUUGUUUUUCAAUUUUAUCCUUAAUAAGUAAUUUUCUUUUAAAUUAAAAUAAUUAUCUUAUUAAUUAUGUUCUUUAAGGGAUUUUUCUAAAAUUUAAUAGUUUUUAUUUGACUUUUUUUAGUUUAACCAUUUUAUAAAAUUAAAAUAAAUACCUAUAAAAUACCUAUAAUAAUAAAAAAUACCUAUAAAAUAAAUAAUUUUUUAAUUACAAUAAUUAUUUAUACUUAUUUUUACAAUUAUAAUUUUAUUAUCCUUUUAUAUCAUACAAAAAUGUGAAGUAUAAAAAUAACUAUUUAUAAUAAAAAAUAUUACUUACAAAAUAAACAAAAAUUAUCAAUAACAAAAUUGAGAAAAUGAUUUAUACCUGUUUUUAUAAUUAUAAUUUUAUUUUAUUUUUAUCAUUAAAAAAAUGUCAAUACAUAUGUACAUAAAACAUAUAUUUUUACUAGUAUAUCAUAAAUGCUUUUAUUUGUUAAAUAGAGAAAAAAUAACAUAUUUAUUUUCCCAGAAUCCAUUGUGUAUCGUUUAUGUUGAAUUUUUUUUUUCUAUUUCCAUUGUGAUAAUAAUGAAUAAUUUAAGAGUAAUAUUGAUAAAUGAUAAUAAAUAAAACCAUUGAUAACAAAAUAGUUUUUAUAAUCUAAAUCAUUUUUCUUCACUUACAUUUUUCUUUAUUAAAAUGUCUAUUAAUGAUAUACAAAAUUUAUAUAUGUAGGAGUUAUGUUUGUAUCUUUUCAAUGUAUUAAUUAUUUGUAUUGCGAUAGAUAAUCUUAUGUAUACAUUAGGAGCUUAAAAUACAUAUUUUUAUUUAUGUUUUCUCGAGCAUUGUGAAGUAUUUAUGUGAUGAAGGUUCUUUAUGAUGUAUUAGAUGCAUAGAGUUUUUUCUCUGAAUAUUUUAAAAAUAAUAGUAAAAUAUUGAAUUAAGUUAUUUGUUUGAAACAUUGAAUUAAAAGUUAAUAAAAGUAACUGUGAUUUAGUUGUAUUAAUAAAAUGUGUGAUGGCUCUUAAGUCUUACACAAAUUAAUUCUUGAAAAAUAUAUAUGCUUAAUACAAGUUCUUUUAUAUUGAAUGUAAAGAAAAGUAUCUUAAUCAAAUAAUUAAAAGAGAUAUAUUUUAAAGAUUAAAUUACAUGAAAAUUUAAUUAAAACCCUAAUUAUCAAUACACUAGUUUUUGAAAAUCAAUUUAGAUAAUACAUUAAAAUUGGUAAUAUAUUAUUUAAUAAAAAUAGCAUACUUUUCUUUUUCUGCAAAAUUUUACUAACUCACGAAAACGAGCUUCCUAACUCUCAAGGAACAUUUUUCUUUAUUGUUAUUUUUUUAAAAUUAAAUUAAAAAAGAAAUUACUCGUUCAACUUGAACAAUCAUGCAAAAGUGUCUUUACCCAUUCAUUGCUAUUCAGAUUUUUAAACAAUGAAUACAAGAGAAUAAUGUCAUUCAACUUUAAAAAACGGUAGUUUGUGAUCAAAUCAAUUUCAACUCUUUUAUUUUUUUCCUUAGGAGAAGUUAAUUCCAACAUUCUUACAUCCAAAAACAUUUAACAUAAAUAAUUUAGAUCUUAUUAUAUCAUUAAAAAAGCCAACUGAAAUAAAUUUAAAGUAGGAAGGGGUAUGUCAAACCUUUUUCCUCUCAUCAUAAAUUAAACAAUUUAAUAUAUUCAUACAAAAAACUUAAUUUAAAAAAAAAAAUUACCCAUAACUUCUACUUUAUUGAUAAAAUUCUUAAUAUGAACUUCAUCUGUGAAGUAACAUUUAGGCCAAAAAAAGAUUAGGCCAGCCACAAAACCUUAGUUUAAGAAUAAACUACAAGCUCCUUAGUAAUAAAAAAGAAAGUCAGAUGCAAAACUGGGAUUCCAAUAAAUUUGAAGUCUCUUGGCCAAAGAGAGAAAUGAAAGAAAAAGUAGAUGGGAUGAUGCAAGUUACUUUUAACUCCACAAGCAUAAGUAUCUACACCAAUGUUCUAAGCUUGACCUCCAUCCAAAUCAGGUUCCUCAUCCAUGUCCUGCUUCCUAAUUUCGUAUGAAAAGUCUUCAUCAAGAUUCUCCAUAGUUCUUCCAAAAAUAAAUGACUUCGUUCCCAUUGUUGUAAAGGGCAUCAAGCCAAAUGCUCGAGCAGUUUUUAUCUCCCUGGCAACCUUUCUUUGAGCCUUUGCACUGAUGCCGGUCUAUUCAAUGAUCAUGAAGAAACAGUGUUAAGAUCUCAUAGUAUAUAUUUUAUGAAUUCUUCAUAAAUACUUACAGAAGAAAAGAUGAGAACCUUUUAUACACAAGUUAAAAAAUUAGGUUUCGGAAAAACUAACAUGAAAUAACUUGUAUAAAUUGACUUACACAUUAACUAAUUUUAACUUUUGGAAAAAAAUAUUUUUCCUUCAUAAUAAUCCUUCAUCAUUCUUACAACAUUACUGUCAAUUUUAGAACUUACCUUGCUUCGCUUGAUUAUAAUUCCUGCCUCUGUUAUGAAAUUUGCCAGGAAUCUUACAUUCUGCAUCAAAACAUAAAUACUACUAAGCCAUUUAAAAAAUAGCAAUAAUAUUUAAUAGGAAGAUAAUUUGUCAUAAAGGGAAAUAUGUUACCAUAGUUUCACUAACAAGAAUGAAGGAAAAGAUACCAUGGCUAAACAGAGUCGCAACAUAUAUUUACCUUGCCUUCACUCAAUCUAAAACUGACUAACCAUAAAUCGAUUAAAACUUUAGAAUAACAGUAAGCUAGCAAAAAUUUUAGGCUUGAAUUGUAAGUGAAAACUUUACAAGAAAUUUUCAUACAACUUUAUCAAAGUGGUUCUAAGAAUGCAGACAAUUUAGAGCCAUGGAUCAAAGCAAACUGGAAGGAUAACUUUCUGCUUGUUCAUAUGAAUCUGUAAUCUAUAUCGGUCAUCUUUUAUUUUCAUAGUUAACAUAAAGACAUCUAAUUUAACAUUAAGACACAUGGGAAAGGUCAUGAUGGUAUGGGUUAAUAUAUGGUGAGUAAUGUCCACAAACAACCUGACAAUCUACAUAAGAUAGUUUUGACAACAAAAAUGUUUUUAUUCAUUUCCAGUUUUUCUUUCACCAAGACAAUGCAACAAAGCAACACACGGAUUAACAAAACAUUUAAUGAGAUGUGAAAGUUUUUCUUACCAUGAGAACAUGCAAGUCGUGAAGUUAGUUUUACUUUAUCACAAUAGUAAUAUACAAAAACAGAAUAUUUAUGGAAGUGAUAGUUUUCACUGCAGCAUAGCAAUCAGAAGUAUAUGGUAGAUGCAUUACUAUAAAGGAAUUACUCUAACACAAGUGCUAACCCUGAAAUCUGCUUGACUGAGAACUUCUUUGGUGGUUACACGGAAUUCAUCCCUCAUGGGAGGCUUGCGUACACCAGGUUUGGUAAGAUCCAGAUCCUGUAUGAAGAAAGAUACUGCACAAAUUAAAAAACUAAUAUGUACACAUAAUACAAAAUAAACAUUAACAGAGUAAAGGUUGAGAUAUCAUGCAGUGAAUGGGAUAUUGUAGCCAUGGUUGUUUAUAGCAGACAAAAUAAGAUUGGUGAUAGGAUCAAAAGCAUUUAACAUUAUUGGUUAAUCAUACAUACCAUUGAAUAUCAACAAUCAGAUGUGUACAUGUUAAUUCAUCUAAUCUAAAACCCUUCAAUGCAAUAGACUGAAAUUAUAUGUCAAAUUAAAAAGAAUAAACAAGAGACGGACAUACAGAUAAAGAGUAUCAGUAAUUCUGUCAAAUGACAUUCUAAAAAGCCACUGCAACACAUUUUCUUUAAUGAGGAGCAUCAAUUAAAAGGGUUAGAUUUGAGGGUUAUAAUAUUUGUGGAUCAUGAAAGAUGAGAACACCCAUUCAAAAUUUCCCAAAUGCGUAUUCUUGCAAAAAAGAUGUAUUGUCUCCAUGUUUAAUUGAUACAGUCAAUAAUGAUACCUACAACACACAAGAUAUCAAGAAAUUCAAAACUUCUUUCAUUACUAUCUAACCAUACUCACAUGUCUUUAUCUCACCCACCCGAAUGAUCUCAGCUAAUGGAUUGCUAAUCCCAACCCUUCCCAACAUUUUCUAACACCCAUACACUGAUGAUUACUGAUCACACACGGCCUAGACCAUUACAACUCUUUUCCCACCCAGUCAUAGUUUGCAAAUGUUCCUUUUGUAUACCCUCAAUUCUGCUACUCAACCAACCAAGACCCAUUGUUCUUAUCAUAUUUAUAGUAAUAAGGAGCAUAUCCUAUAUAAUCAAGAUCAUACCUCUAUAAUUAGGAACGUUUUGUUUAUUCUUGUACUAUACCUUUAUUAUUUGAGGAUACCAUAUCUCAAUUUAUUUUAUAGAUUCAUUUCUCUCAAUACAAAUAAAGUAUCCACACUGUCUCAGAAAAAUACAGUUUCAGCAUAAUACCACCCUUUUUACUAGAGCUCAACAAUUCUUUUUCUUUUAAAAUAACUUGUGAAUAUCUCUUUAAUGUUGUUUUUUUUAGACAUAUAUACUAUAAAUUAUGAUUAUUUUCACCCUUUUUACUAGAGCUCAACAAUUCUUUUUCUUUUAAAAUAACUUGUGAAUAUCUCUUUAAUGUUGUUUUUUUUUUAGACAUAUAUACUAUAAAUUAUGAUUAUUUUCACCCUUUUUACUAGAGCUCAACAAUUCUUUUUCUUUUAAAAUAACUUGUGAAUAUCUCUAUAAUGUUGUUUUUUUUAGACAUAUAUACUAUAAAUUAUGAUUAUUUUCAUUAAAGAUCUAUAAUCUAAACUUAAUGCCCAUCCUGCUAUUCCAUUAUAUAGCAUUAUUGGAGCCUGUCACUUUGUGCUGCUAUGAGUAUAGAAAAAAUACCCUGCGAGACACUCUUCACCAUAUUUCAUUUGGUACCUCUGACCAAACAUGUGUAUAAUUUAUCACUACAUCAAUCAUCAAUUUCGACAAAACAUUUAAUGCCCUCAUGCAUAUGACAGAACCAAGCACAAACAAACAUCUAAAAUUAAAGAUAAAUAUAAAACAAUGAUGGCCAAGGAAAAUAGACAUCGUUAUUCAACUUACCUUUAUAUCAUAUGUUGAACCAGGUAUGAAAUCGGUAUCGUAUCGAAAAGCAUAAUCUUCUUUCUCAAUUUCAUCCUCAUCAACUUCAAAGCAUGUGGCAGCAUUCUUCAGGUUUUCAUCCAUUCCAUCAGAUAACGAGUCAUCAUUUUCUUCUAGAUAAUCCAUCAUAUGAAAACCAGCACCAUUUCCAAAACCAGAUCUAUGUCGAGCCCUUCCCUGUUGGCUAAUCUUUUCAAGAAUGGAAUCAAAUUGGGGAAAUCUACCACGAUUUUCUCCAAACAUCCCAAACUCCUCAGGAGGUUCUGACUUGUUAGCCUGCUGAUCACUGGUUUGAUUAUCUGCUCAAAGAUUGGGCAGGAAGAUCAUAAGGAAUAAUUUUAAUUUCACAGUACGGUAAAAAAGAAUUUUAAACAACCUUAUACUAUUUUUGUAAAUUGUGAUUCUAGCACAGACCAUCAUACUGUUGAAAUUAUAUUUACAUGAGUUGGGUAUAGUAAUAAAUGUUAAAAAAGUCCCAAUUAUAUGUUACAUGCAAUGUGCAGAAAUCCAUUACGCCUGUGACACAGAACACCUGAAACUCUCAUCUGAUUAAAGCUUAAAUCCAUACAGGUUUACUAUAUAAAGUUUUUCUUUCCUUCUUAUAACAAAGAUUAUGCUAACCAUUCCUGUUUGAAUAUUCAACAGAAAUAUUUACUUCCUUUUUGGCCUACUACAUACAUUGAAAAAUAAAAACUCAGAAGUGUAGUUAACUCUUCUCAGUACUGAAAAAAAUAUACAAAUACCUAAGAACAUGAAGAGAAACAAUUACAGGACCCUACUUAACACGGAAACAGACAGAAGAUGACAGAUGAUGGUGACUAAUCAACUUUAAAAAACAGAAAAAAAUGCUGCACAGUUUAAAGAGUGACAAGAAGCAUAAAAAGAAUAGCAUAGAUUUUUCUUAGGCUUGUAUUUUGCCUAUUCUAGUUUCUAGUUUCUUUCUCUUAGUUUGGUUGUAAAGAAGUUCUUAGGCUUGUAUCUAUGAUCAUAUCACAAAGAAUACAUUUUUUCACAACAUACUUGGAGAAUCUUCAACUAUAGGCAGUUCAUUCUAUAUUUACCACAGCCUUGGUGACUCAGACUGGUAAUUCCCUAUUUUGCUUUUCUCAAUAUUUGGUUAUUGAAUCCUUGGGUUGGAAUUUCAUGCUUUUGAUCGUAUUGUUGAUAAGUUGGUAACUUCUUUUAUCAUCCCAAAUUCAUCUCUCACAAAAAUUGCUUAACACCCUUGCAAACAGCCUAGAGAUUAAAGCUACAGGCAUUGGUCAAGAACCCUCUUCCAUUCAUACCUUUGGAUUUAGUUCUUCUCUUUCUUGAUUGUCUAUUAAAUCUAGCUUCAGUGAACCAACUGACCGUUUCCUUAACUGUUCACCAACCUUUUUCUCUAAUUCCUUCAACAUUUAUGGAAAGAUUAUUGGUGCAUGUUUUUAUUCAUUCAUGCUGACUAAUCUCCUUCUGUUGUUAGUACUGGCACUGAAUACAAAUCUCCACAUUAUCUGAGCCUAAAUAAGUACUAAAGAAGGAUUCUCAAUCUCUCCCAUUUGUAGUCUUUUGAAAUGUGAAUCAUGUCAGCUAAAUAAUCACAAUAGUAAGUCUAAAUUUCAACUCAGAAAUGUUUAUUCAGAUGUUAGGGACCAUCACAAGUUAGCUCAAUCAUGUGUCAUAUCAUAAUGAGUUAGUUUAGCAAAAUCAGCUUGCAUGUGACAAUUGGCUGUGACUGUUCUCAACUGUUUCUGUUCUUUGUAGAGCAAGCUAUCUGUAGUUGUAUAAUCUUUGUUGUGACAGAAUUCUAAAUGUGAUGAGAAAUAAAAUUUCAAUUUUUAACAGUGGUAAGAGGCAGGCUGGCAAGUCUAGACCUUUUGGUUCACAAACCAACUUUCAAUCAUAGAGGAGUAAAGUAUAAAACAUUCAAAAACUCAAACUUCACGAAAACCAAACACAUAUAACGAAAUCAUCAAAAUCAAUUACCAAAAUAUCAGCAACAAGGCUGACCACUGCUUACAAAGGAGACAGUUCACAGACCAAGUACCUGUAAAUCCCCAAGUGGAAAGGCUUCUGAACAUAUGAGUCUGAUAAAACUGAUGGGACAAAUUGACACUUAGUGACCUAACUGCAACUGAAACAAUCUUCAUUUUGUUCCUGCUUCAAUAAAACAAUUGCUUAAACCCGUAAAUUUAUGAGCUCUACACUAGACUGCACGGUAGCUAAAAAUAUAACACCACACAAAUCAAAGAGAGAAAUUAUCUCACUUAUGUUAACCUGAAAUCUAAAUGUUAAACUAAACCAUAAGAGAUGUCUCAAAUAUUUCCCUAUCCAAAGAAAUUAUAUCACAAAAUUUCAAAUGAAAACAAUAGCUUUCAGUUAUAUACCUUCAUAAUACACAUACAGAACAUAUAUACGGAUACGUUUAAGAUAACACCUCUCACACUCCAAAAUUUAGCAAGAGUAUAUAGGGAUACUGGCAAUUUAUUUUGAAAGUCAGCAUUCAGAAGAUGACAGUGCAAUAAACUUAAAUAAAUGAUAUUAUCCACAACAACAUUAAGUUUUAUAAGCAUGGUUAUCAAACUAAUCGAUUUUAGUGUAAAUUCGGUAGAAUCGGGUAGCAUCGGUGAACUCGGCCAAACUCGCGAUUUUGCAACCGGUGGCGAGUUCCAAGAGAGGAUUUUUUAAAACUCAAAACGACAGUGGUUUGGUGUGCAAGAGUGAAGAAAACUCACUGAUUAGAGGAUUAGGGUUUCACUCUUCUUCUUCUACUGCCCCACAGUGGUUAGUUCCUCUUUCUGAACCGCUCGCGGUUGAGUCACAGACCGUCGUGCGUCGCGCGCCCUCGCCGCCGUCGUCUGCGGCAGAUUGGGAGGAGAAAAGGAGACCACUGCUCCCUGCACCCUUUCGUUUCGUGUAAGUGGAGAGUGGGUGUGUGAAAUCUUAAAUAUGACAAGAAAUGAGGUAUGCUGAAAAAGCAAUGGAGGGCUUACCUUGCCAGAAAAAUGAGAAGUUUUCGGUCUCCAAAUUUAAGGGUUCCGAGUAAUGGAAACUGAAUGUUUAUUGUUUGAAGAAGAUGGUGGCGCGGCGGCAAGACACCCCUACGACGUCGCCUUAUAGUGGUGGCUAGAGCAAGGGAUUCCCUCUGUCUGUCUGUUACAGGUAGAGCGGCGUCGUUUUGCUUUAGUCUCAUGAAAAAAUAAAUCUUUAUUGGCCCGGGUCACUGAAAUUCGCCGGGUCAAGUCCGAUUGGUUCGGGUCAUAAUGUUGCAAACACUUCCCAGCCCGUUUUCGUCAUUAACAUUAAGUGUCACUACGUUUUACGUUUCAAGUUUGGAGAUUGUGCCACCUCCAAGCUUUCAUUUUAUAUAUCCAAUUUUUUUCUUAAAGUCUAAAACAUCCUUUAGAUAAGAAUAAAUAUAUCUUUUCUUCUAUAAUUACUCAACUCACUUAUAUCCAUUUUUUCUAAUAUGUAUCUCUUUUUACUUCAAAUUUUAAUUUAAAAAUUUAAGGAAUUUUGAAAUAUAAAUUCACUUGAAGAGAUUUGGUGGAGAGUAAUAGCAUGAAUUUGAAAAGAUUUGAAUAUAAUUUUUUUUUAUUUGAGUGGAUUUGGAGAUAAGUGAAAGUGAGUUUAGAAGUAAAGUUUAUAAAAAUUAGUGUAUAAUUUAAUUUAUGUGACAGAUUAAAAAAAUUUAUUUUCAAAUUCACUUUUACUUAUCUGUAAAUCCACUCAAAUAAACAACAACAGAAAUUAUAUUCAAAUCCGCUCAAUUUCACUCCUUGAAAUUUCUUCAAGUGAACAAAGUACGUUUUGCAUUUCGAAUUUUCCGUACUCUUCGAUUUUUUUUUUGUUUAAAUCAUUUUUUGGUCCUUAAGUUAAGUGUUGAUGUUUAGUUUAGUCCCCGUUUUCAAAAGUGUAAACCUUUGGUCUCUAUGUUAUCAAAUUUGUUUAAUUUUAGUCAUAUUCGUCUAACGGUGUUAAAAUUGUUAACGGUAAAAUUACUGUGAAACUGAUCUGUAAAAAAAAUGUUGACGUGGCAUUUAGUUGACAUAAAAUCAAUUUACGUGGAAGUCAAAUUUGGGUUACGUGUAUGUAAUUUGGGAAAAAGAAUCGUGUUGUGAUAGCCUUCGUCACUUUGGUGAAGUUAAUUCCAGCACUCGCAACAUCUAAUUUGUACCUAUCCAUGACAGUGAGAAGUUGUUUCCUGACAUCCUGGACUCUUCUCAACGAUCGAGAUUGAACAAAGUUCUCAAAACACCACGGCCCUGAAAAGUUCUUAGCUUUCCAAACCUCAUAAACAGUAAGUAGAGUACGAUGGUCACCUCUGGCUGGAAAAACUUUGCCCUCUUCUGAUAUGCUCGACCUUGCUUUUCCCUUGGCCUGUAAAAAAUGUUUCCGGUUUGAAUCAUGGCAAUUAUGGUCAAAAUCUCAUCACUGCAUCCAAGAUCCACACUGGCAAGCAUAAUCUUGGACAACGGUGGAUCCAAAGGAAAUUCUGCCAUUUUCCUCCCCAGUUUGGUUAACAAGCCCUCUUCAUCCAAUUCUCCAAGACUGUAAAGCUGCUCCAUAACAGAAACAUACGCCUGAGGUGAAAACAAAUCCAUAAAAUCAAAGGACAAUAGAUCGUUUAUCCCCAUAGAAACCUAUCCAAAAUCAUUGCGCCACCACCUGCAGAGGAAAAUAGAGAAAACUCAAUCCCAAAAUCAGAAUCGAAAAGAAGAACAGAAAACCCUCAAAUCUUAAAAUGGAACCCUAAAUCGCGAGACGCGCCAACAACGAGCACAAACCCUUGUACUACGAAGUCGCCAAAGUUGAAGCCUUGAGGUGAUGCCACUGUUGCCACCCCCACGAAUGGGAUCGUCACGCUGCAAAGACGAAGUUGCGUCAGCCUCCCUUCCUUACGUGAAACGAACUUGAACCGAGAAGAAAGAAGAAGAGGAAGAAUGGCUAACGCGUCGCCACGAGCCACCUGGAAAUUACGAAGACGCCAUCAGAGUCGCGCCCUGUCCACGUCAUCGUCGUCACCUCCAAAUGUCCCACCAGCAUGAAAUGCAGAAAAAAGAAAAAGAAGAAAGCCUCCAUAUUUGCGAAAUCACAAAGACAGUCCAAGAUUGAGUUUUUCUGCGAGAAGAACAAGAAGUCACGCUUGGAAAAAGUUUCAGAUAUUAUAUUAAAUGCCACAUCAAUUUUUUUUUUUUACAGAUGAACUCCACAGUAAUUUUAUCGUUAACAAUUUUAACAUCGUUAGACAGAUAGGACUGAAGUCAAACAAAUUUGAUAAUAUAGGGACUAAAAGUUUAUACUUUGAAAAGCGGGAACUAAACUGAAUAUCAACACUUAACUUAGGAAAAAAAGGAUUUAAAUCUUUUUUUUUUCUUUUGUCCGUUUCAUACAAAUUUUAGAUUGGAUUAUAAUGGGUUUUAAUGUUUUUUACUUAUCUUUUCUUAGGGGGUUGAUCCCUGUACCUCCACAUUUUUGGCUUUUUACCUCCCCAUUUUUUUCUUAAAUUUUUGUUAUAUUACAAAUAUAACCUUUUUUGUACUCUCUAAUUUACGUUUUUAACCCUCUCUUAUUUACCUAACCCUAGAUUUACUUUCCCAUUUGACUUCCUCCCUCACGUAACACAAAACCCCACUCCCAUUUUCUAUUUCACUAAGGCUAACACAGCACCCCCACCCAUUUCCCUUUACUCGUUUUCAUUUUUUUUAAACUCUGACUCCCAACUCCAGUCCUCUGUUCAUCUGUGCAUUUCGUGGUGGUGCGGCCUGGGUGUGCAGUGGUGCGACGAGUUUUUGCGGCGGUGCGGCGACGGUGGUGCUUCGUUUCUGCCGGUUGGUCUUCGAGAGGUUAGUUUUUCGUCUCUUCUUCCGAUUGAUAGAGAAAUUUUGUUCGUUUCGGUUUCUUCUUGGCGCAUAUAUGUUGUUGUUUCUACCAGAGCUUAUUUUUUCGUUUCGUUUCUUGAGUGUUGUCAUUUCUGUUUGUUUUUUUUAAUAUAUGUAAUACAAAGUGUUGCGUGUUCUGUUUUUCUGUGUGUGCAUGUUCUGUUUUUCUCUGUGUUUCAGUGGUAGGAGGAAGAAGACACUAGGCAUCUGAAACGGAUGUGGAUAUCCGUCAACGGAUAUCGACCUCCGUUCAGGCCAACGAUACUCACAGUAAAAGAAAAGAGAGCACAGAAGGAUUGGAAGAAACAACUAUGAAACCGAACGAGAGAGCAGAAGGUGAGAAAAUAAAAAUUAGGUUUUUUAAGUGAAAUUAAAAUUAACAUAUAAAAUAAAUUUUACUUAAGGGUAUAAUAGAAAUAUAGAUAAAAAAUAAAAAUAUAAAUAAUAAAAGAAGGGAUAAAAGUGGGAUAAGGAGGUGGAGGUUAAAAAUGUAAAGAUACAGGGAUCAACGCCCCUUUUCUUAUCUUCGACUAUUGGGCUUGUAUUGGACCUCAAUUUAAAAUUCAACAAUUUUUUUUUCUCUUUCAAGUAGAGCAUAAUAUAUAAUAUAAUUAAUAAAGAAGUAAUAAUAUUAGAGAAAUAUAAAAUAUUUAAAAAAUAAUAUAUUAUAUGAUCAAUUAAUAAUAAUAUUCCAAUGAAAAUUAUAAAAAAAAUAUUUAUGGCAUCAUACAAUAUAUUUAGUUGUUAUGCUAUUUAUUUAUGUUUUGAUACAUGUAAAUUAUUGACUUUGACAAUGAAAUGUGAGUAAAAUUCGGAAGUGUAUUUUAUAUGAAUGGAAAAAUGAAUUAAUGUGAAGCGAUGUUUCUUUCUUUUCUUUCCAUAUUUUUCAUUCGAAAAUAAAACUUUAAAAAAAUUUAAAAUUAUUACAAAAUCUAAUACGUAUUCAUCUAUGUGUUUUAAGGUUCCAUUAUUGAACAUGAAGUUUUUAAAGAAUUAUAAGAUGAAAAAUUUUGAUGGAGAAAAUGACAAUAUUUACUUUAUAGUGUUUGAAUUUUUAAAUUAGUUUACUCAAUCAUUAACUUGAUAACUUAAAAGACAUCUCGUUACGUGAAUGAACGACAUUAAAAAAAACAUUGAAUAUUAAAAUUAAGAAAAAAAAAUAGACCAAAAGAAAAAUAUAAACAUUUACCAGAAAAUAAAAUUAAAAAAAAAAAUCUAUACUUCGUAUAAUAUUUUGUAUGUGUCAAUUAACGAAUAAUUUAUCAUUUAACAAGCAUUACAAAAAUUAAAACCGAUCAGAAGAAAAAAAAAAAAAUAAAGGGUUAAACAUGUUUUUAGUCCCUUGGGGCGAUUUCGGUUUUAGUCUUUUUUUCAAAUUAAGGUACAAUUAAUCUUUCAAUUUUAUAAAACUCUGAUUUUAGUCUUUUUUUAACAAAUGUUUUUAACUUUAUUUACUAUUUCAAACACAAAAAUAAAACACCAUAAUAAAAAUUACAAAUUUAUAUUAAAAAAAUUAUUUAAGUCAACUUAUUUUGUACACACAUACAUGUAUUUAUAAUUUUACCUAUGGCACACGCAAUUGUCAGCUUGUCACUGUCGAAAAAUGUCCAUUUUGAGUUAGGACAACCCUAUGUUGAUAUUUAGCUUAGUUUGUCAAUAUUUGUGCCAAACUUAACUCUUUAACACAAAAUUAAUUAAUGAAUGAAAGCUACGCAUAAGCAUACUUUUUCUUUAUUUUUUUUUAUGAAAAUUGAAUAUUUGGUGUAUUUUUUUAAUUUUUACAAAAUAAAAGGAUAAAAAAUUAAUAAAUGAAAUAUGGAAUGAGCAUAAUAUAUUAUAUUUUGUUAUAGAUAUGUGUGUUUUACAUGCAUAACAUUGUGAUAUUUGACCAAAACCAAAAACGAAAUACUAUUUUUCUCUUAAUAUGAAGUAUGAAAUGCUUGAUCCAAAUGGUAAGGCGAAACUCUUAUGUCCAUGAAUUACAAAUAUGAAAUAUUGUUUUUUGGUUUAAAAAAGUAUGUAUUAACAAUUCAAAGUAGGUGCAGAGAUAAGGUGAAUUUAAGGAAUAAUGGAUCGCAUUUACAUCAAAGUUUUAAUCUUAAACUUUUAAGCAAUCAAAAAUAAACUUUAUUAAAAGCAAUUUAUUAUAUAUUUUAUGAUUUUAAUAUAAUUAAUAAUCAUAAAAUUGAUCUAACAAAUGUUCAAAUUAGUAUAAAUUUUAACAUCUCAUUAAAUAAUAUAAAACAGUUAAAUAAAACAUUACAAAUUUGUAAUACACAAAUUAAUAUAAAUUAGGAAACAUAUAUAAUAUUAAUAGAGAUAUUUAUCUUAAUAACUAUAAAAAAAUAAUAUACGUAGACACCAAACCAAAAUUACAAGAGUAUUUUUUUGAGUAAAAAAAAAACUCUUAUACUACCAAUUAGAUAAAACUAUACAAUUAUUUUAUUGCAUUAUCAUUUUCCAUCAAAGGUAUAUUUUUUUUUUCACGUUAGAAAGUAAUCAUUGUAAAAGAAAAAAAAAAAAUACAAUGUAAGUUAAGUUAGUAUGCGAACGAAACAUCACAAAAUAAUUAAAUCAUAUUAAAUAUCAACAAACAUAAACAAUUGAAAUUAUACUCAAUUUUGACAAGACUUCACUACAUAGAAAUUAUCACCCCUACUACUCACAAGGUUAGUCUCCUUUGCACCUAAGACUAAAAUGUCCAAGUGCUAGAACCUGCUGCCAUUCACUUCCCCACAUCAGUUGAAUGGUUAAUAUAUACCAGGAUAUCUCCUUUUUGAACUCCUAUAUGUCAAAACAUACACUAAACAUCACCACCACACAUAUCACACAUAUCCCUAACAAAAUCCUAAUUCACACACACACUUACCGUAUUCACAAGCAUGCUUAAAGAUUAUAUGAAGAUUAUAUAAAGAUUAUAUAAAUCAUUACCAAACAACCAAAAAGGAAAAAAAAAUUAAACAUACAUAUUGAUGCUCAAGGGUGAUGCCCAAUGCUAAACUUCUAACAAAAGGCACACCUCAACGUCAUUCUUCUCGCAAAAAUUCACGUUCAAAUACCAAUCUCUAUCGCUCGGUAACUUGAAAUUAAAUUGCUUCAGACCUGUAGCCAAAGAUGAAGUUCAACGCCCAACUAGUACCGCGCAACGUUACAACAAACUUAAAUUUUUGAUUUAAGUAAACUUGAACCCGAUCAAUUGCUCAAACUAAUAUUCAUUUUUUAUAUAGUUGAUCUAACACGGCUUUUAUACAUUCAAACUUAUACCAAUUUUCUGAAUUGUUCGUUUUUCAGUUCUUUCAAAGUUCAAAUAACAAGCAAACUCAAUUCAAUUCUUAAACCGCAUAAUUCAAUUCAAGCAUAAACACAAUCAAAUUAAACCAACAUACCGACAACGUCAUAUUUAUCAACUCACCCGUAAUAAAUCAACUAGUUUUCCUACUUGAAGGACAAAGCAAACAAUUUAAUGACCCUCAUAACACCCUCAAAUGCACAAAAAGCUCAAACUACCCAUAUGAAGAAUACAAAUAUAAUCCGGACACAUCAUUAAGACCGUUAAUCAACAAAGACUAGCAAAAAGAACAUAAUAUAAACACUACAUCUGAGCCAAAAAGGGCUACGAAUAGAAGAAGAACAAACAAAUCGAGAAAAAGACAGACAACCAACUCAUCUUAUUAAAAAAACUCACCAACUGAUCUUGAUGAAUUCACCACAAAAAAAAAUCCUACGAAUCUUUGAUAUUCAAAAAAUCAAUCAUAAAAUUUUUUAGAAAAAAUAGAAAGUGAACUUUGAAAAAAAAUUAUAGAAAAAAUGUGUAUUUUUAAAUAAUAAAACUCAUUUAUAAAUACUAUAUUUAGAUUUUAAAUUUUUAUUAUUAAAAUAAUUGACUUUUACCCUUCUAAACAUAUUAUCAAUUUUAAAAUAUUAUUUUCUAAUAUGUUAUAUAAGCAAAUAUUUAACCAAAAAUAGUUUGAAUUUAAUAUAAAUAGGCUGAUAAUGUAAAAAUAUUUAUACAAUUAUAAAGUCACAAAAUUCCCAAUGUGAUUAUGAAAAUUUUGUUGACUUUCAUAUGAAAUUUUUACCAAUAAAUAAACGACUUUGAAUCUAAUUAAGAUAGAUUGAUAAUAAAAAAAAGUAUUUAUUGUCAUGUAACUACAAUUUAUUAAAUGAUUUUUUUUUUUCAUAACAAAGAUAGUAAAAUAUACCAAACAUAAUUUUCAACAAGUUGAAUUAGAAAUAUAAAAAAAAAAGAACUUUGCAUUAAUAGCUUUGAAAAUUAAAUUCAAUUAAUUGUAUUCUCCUACCUCUAAACGAGGCAAAACGACUAGGGAAGUUACAAAAGUAGACGUACAAGUACAAUCAUCUUUAAUUCAAGAAAGUAAGCAAAUUCUUUCAAAAUUAAAUUACUUCAUAUAUAAAUCAUGGGUAUUUUUUAAUCAAAUAUUGCAAAAAAUCUUAUUAUUUAAAAGAAAAUACGUAAAAAAUAGUUUCAAAAAAUUAUGUGUUUUUAUAUUAGUGUAGAAAUAUUGCGUAAACAAUUUGACUAAUUUUUUAUGAGAGCCUGAAAGUAAAAUUCUCUAAAAAUGCCCUAAAUGCUUUAUUAAAGCUCUGUUCUAUGAAAACUCUGUUCCUGUCUUGUCACGAAGGAAAAGAACAAGGGAAGUUACAAAAUCAGAGGGCUGAUACAGUGAAGUUUGAUGCAAAACGGUAAAUACACAUUAAUGUGGGUACAAAAAGGGGAAAGAAAAAAUGAGACCAGCUUGAAGAUUCUGCAUCCUUAUUAUUAUUCCUCACACCCUCAUGACGAGGUUGCAACUCUGAAUACGAGAAGUCGUAGGAACAGGCAACACUUGACAACAAAUCCAGAUUCACUCUUUCAUUCAUACAUUUAUUUCAUCAAUUAUCUCCAAAAUCCACACCUACUAGUCAAUAAUACUAUCUUUGAGUACACUUUUUCUUCUUCUCACUAUUCACUCGCUUUCAUUCACUCCAUUGACUCUGCACCACCCCUUUCAUCUUUGGUUGGUAAGAUCACCAAAAUGGAGAAAAUAAAAAUCCUGCCUUUAACUUAUGUUCUUUAGAAAAUCUCUGUUUUGUUUGUUAAUACCCAUGUGGUGUAUCCUUGUUGUUCCCAACAUCACAUGUUCGAAUGUUGAUUUGGCACCCCUGUUAGAUCUCGGGGUGGUUUUUAUGUUGUGGCACAGAAGUUUCUGAAAUUUUGAUGACCAUGUGAUGAAUUUCGCUCCUUUUUAUUCAGUGGUGACUUCCUUCACAUUCAAAAUUGGAUCUUACACAGAACCAAGAGGGUGGUUGCCGUAAAAGAUUUUGUUUUUAUUUUAUUUUUUUGGUUUGAUUUGUAAUUGUGAGCAAGAUGCAAUCUAGGGGUGUGGCACUUGAAGAGGGAAAGGAAAGAAGCAGCCAAUCGAAGCCUUUGAGACCACUGCGGCUACUUGUGUUGUUUUUUGCUCUCUGUGUUGUGUUUUCGGUCAUUAGCAUAUACACGGUUAAGCAUUUUGGAAUUGAGAGUAUGGUGACUACAAUGAGUUCUAAUUUUCAGCCAUGUUAUUAUGAGGAGCCUGGUGGUUUGGAUAAGUGGAUUAGGCCACCUUUGAGCCUGAUCCACAAUAUGAGUGACAAAGAACUGCUGUGGAGGGCUUCUUUUGUUCCAAGGAUCAAGGAUUAUCCAUAUCCUAGAAUUCCCAAGAUUGCAUUCAUGUUCCUGACCAAGGGACCAUUGCCUCUGGCACCCCUUUGGGAGAGGUUUUUCAAGGGUCAUGAGAAGUUGUUUUCCAUAUAUAUUCAUUCACUGCCCUCAUAUCAACCUCAGUUUCCUCCUUCUUCUGUCUUUUACGGCAGGCAAAUCCCUAGCCAGGUAAGGCCAUAUCCAUCUUAUGCUGCUAUUUGUUGAUGAAACUGCACUUGCUCUCUUUACCCCUGUAACACCCCUGAUCUGAAGUUGCCAAUGCUUAAUUGCUGCAAGUUUAGUAGUUUAAACUGUAUAUGUUCAUCUCUGUUCACAAAUGUUAUGUCUUCUUUUAAGUCCUGUUUGUGCUUGUUUUAAGUUUUUUUUUUUUUUUUUUUUUUUUUUUUAUGAGAAUUUAGCUACUGCUGAUGGUGGCAUCAAUGCAUUUGAUCAUAGUUGCAUCUUACUUUCUGAAUUCUGCCUUGUGUGGUGAUGGAUGUUGAUUUUUUAUCAGUGUUAAGUGCUUAGUGUGUCAAGUUGCUAGACUUUUAGGUAAGGAAUUCAGCAAGUCAUAUCAGUGGAUGCAAAACAUUCAGGUUGACCAUGUUUUGAACUUAGAUUCAUAAUGGGCUUGAGUCAAGGUUGUAAUCUUUCAAUAGCAGUGUGAGUAAAAGAAUCACACAUUUUACUUAGAAGAUAAAGAUAGUUUUACAAGGUGAUGUUCUUUUUUUUGAUCGGCAAAAAAUGUAUAAAUAAUAGAACAGUUGGGGUGCUCUAACCCUUUUACAUAAAAAAUUACAUAAUUACAAGGUGAUGAACCAUGGAAUUAGUAAGAACAUAUAAAACAAUAAGUAUAAUACUACCUAAUUAUCUAUAGCUCGUUACCUGUUUAGAAUUGUCCGUUCACGAAAUAUCAUUGUAUCUACAAAUCUUAUGUAGCGUUGCAUGUGAAAGACAUAGGUUUGAGAGAAAGAUAAGAAGAUUAUCCUGGGAAAAAGCUUGAGCCUUGCUUCCUAGGAGAGUUAUGGCAAUACUUAGGUAAGUCUGUAGCCUGGGUUAAGAUACUGUUCUAUUGGAUUAAUUUGCACAUACUUUGGAUUUUAAAGGAAGAAAGAAAAGUUAGUUAAUAGAUUAUCAUCGUGGACCAUUUUAGUGAUUGCUAAGCUCAAUGGCCUUCUUUUUUAAAAUCUUAAGCUAUCAGGUUAAAACCACAAGAUCGGUUCUAGAACCAUUAUUGUCCUUAAUGAGUAAACAAUACACAUAAGCACUCUAUUUUGUGCUAAAAUUCAAAUUAAUUAUGCAUUAUAAGGGUGGAAAGGAUCUAAUUCCAAAUCACUUGGUUAGUGAGGCUUGAGUAUUACAAAGGACUAAUGCUCCUAAGUCUACAUUGUUAGAAGAAGGCACAAUAUUAGUUUUAUGUCUAUUCAUGUUCAAGGACUGCGGUUUUCAAACGUAUGAAAUGGGUAGAGGGAGACCAAGAAUGACUCUACGGGAAGUUCUCAAGAGAGAUCUUAUGAUGAAUAUCUCUAAGGGUUUGGUCUUUAAAUGAGACCAGUAGUAUUGCAUGAUCCAUGUAAUCAACUUCAUCUAGUGGCAUAAUACUGUUGUUGCUUUUCAUAGCUAUAUGGAUUUGCAGCCUUGCAUAUAUGAUGUUCUUGGUUAAAUUAACUCCCUCAAUGUUAGCUUCCUAAUUGUCAGGCUAACUAUCCGUAAAAAACCGAUUUCUUAAAAGCCUUCAAAAACAUCAACCAUGAAUUGAUUUAACUGGCUGGUAAACUGUAAACCGUUAAGAUGAUCCUUUUACUUUGAGAAUUAGAUAAGAUACAAGUCGUCAACGCCUAGGAUAACAUAGCCAGUAAUUUUUUCUGUGUUUUUUAAUGCUUUGAGUGUCUUUGUUAUCUCUGUAAUGGAUUUGUCAAUUUGCACUGGAUGGCUUAGUUUCACAUAAGUAUGAAGCAAUGUUUCCAUGUGUCCUGUGCAUAUCCGUAGUAUUAUGAGCUUCAAUUUACAUCAUGAAUGUAUUAUGAGCUUUUUCAUUUACACCAUGAAUUUGCUGCAUUUUAGAAUUCAUAACUUAAGAUUAGUCUUGUGCCACCUAUUUUGACCUAAGCUAUCUUACAUUCUUUUUCUCAGCAGUGAGUUUUCCAUCCAAGCAUUUAAAAACAUGGAAGCUAUACUUGUUUCUAACCAAUUUACUCUUGAAGCCUCUGAUGAUGAUCUUUUAGUAUUUCUUGUGUAGGUUUCUGAGUGGGGAAGGAUGAGCAUGUGUGAUGCUGAAAGAAGACUCCUUGCUAAUGCAUUGCUUGACAUCUCCAACGAGUGGUUCAUACUUCUCUCUGAGUCAUGCAUUCCCCUUUACAAAUUCAGUUUUGUCUACCAUUACAUAAUGAAAUCCAAACACAGCUUCAUGGGUGCAUUUGAUGAUCGGGGUCCAUUUGGAAGAGGGCGCUACAACGAGAACAUGGCCCCUCUGGUGAACAUCACCAAGUGGCGCAAGGGCUCGCAAUGGUUUGAAGUAAACCGAAAGGUCGCCAUCACCAUAGUUGAAGACACCAAGUUCCAUCCGAUAUUCGAGCGAUAUUGCCGGCCGGCUUGCUAUGUCGACGAGCAUUACUUCCCGACGAUGCUCACCAUUCAAGCAGCAAAUGUUUUGGCCAACAGAAGCAUAACUUGGGUGGACUGGUCUAGGGGUGGAGCUCACCCAGCAACAUUUGGAAGAAAUGACAUCACUGAGGAGUUUUUCAACAGAGUACGAGGAGGUCAUACAUGUUUGUACAACAAUAGAAACUCUUCUGUUUGUGUGCUUUUCGCCAGAAAAUUUGCUCCCAGUGCUUUGGAACCUUUGUUACAGAUGGUUGAUUCAAAGGUAUUGGAGUAUUGACAUAUACUGUGUUGUUACUUUCCGUUGAAACUUGAGGGAAAAUAGAGAUGUAGAAUAAAGUGCUUAGAUAUACUAGCGAGAUUUAUCAUAUGGCUUGUGACAUCUGUCAACAUCCAAUUUCUUCGAGAUUUAUCAUAUGACUUAUGACAAUUAUCAACAUUCAAUUUCGUCAAGAUAAUUGCAUUGUUAGAGAGUGCUAGGUGAUAGAGUGACCCCAUUUCAUACACAAGUUGAGUCAUUUUUGAAUGUACAAAAGAGACAUGUUUGAUCAUACUUUUGUUUAAUAUUAACUUCAUGGAUCUUUGUUCUUCUCUUUUUUAUAUUUUAAGGUUUUUACAGAUUGGAGAUUAUGACACGAUCGGUCAACCCUCUUCUCCUUAAUUUGACAAAAAUGAGAGAGAUAUGAAAAAUAAUGGAAGCACAAAAAAAGUAUUCUCAUGAAACAGUAAAGACUGAAACUUUUGAACUCAGUGUAAGGAAAUUGAUUAAAACUAUUGUUUUAUGAAACUUAGAAAAUACACUAAUUUUUAGACUACCUCUUUAAUUUGAAAUCUAAACAUGAUGUUUUUUUUUUCUUUUUUACGUUUCUGGUUUAUUUUUUAAGAGACUAUUAUGAAAUGAGAUAUGUGUAAGGUGAAGUCAUGUUUUAAAAUAUAAUUUCGAUUAUUUUUAAGACUUAGGUGUUUUUUUUUUUUUUUUGAAAAUUAAAAUUAAAGUCCUGCUUUAGAAUAUGUUUUUUUAGAAGUUGUGUUUUAAAAUUUAGCUUCUUUAUUCGAAGUGUAUUUUAAAAUUCAGCUUUUCUGUUUGUUGAAUUUUAAAAUGGUUUAAUAGGUUCGGAGGUCCUUAUAUUUGGAGGUUUGUUUCAAUUGGAUCCUCCAAUUUUUGAAGUGAUCAAUUAGGUCUCUAAUUUUGUCAAUUUGAAUCAAUAAAAGUCUUUCUAUUAAAUGCAGUUAACACCGUGAAGUUUUUGAACAUGUGGCACGCUGACGUUUCCAGGUGACAUCGUUUGAAGUGCAUAGGUGGAUUAUAAAAGGGUGAAAUCCCUAAAUUAAAAGGAUGAAAUCCCUAAAUUAAAAGGGUGUAUUUGAAGGUAAAAUCCCUAAAUUAAAAGGGAUUUCACCCUUUUAUAAUCCACCUAUGCACUUGAAACGGUGNCACCUGGAAGCGUCAGCGUGCCACAUGUUCAAAAACUUCACGUUAACUGCAUUUAACUUUUAUUGAUUCAAAUUGACAAAAUUAAGGACCUAAUUGAUUACUUUCAAAAUUGGAGGACCCAAUUGAAACCCCCAAAUAUAGGGAUCUCCGAACCUAUUAAAUCUUUUAAAAUAGGAUCUAUUGUUGAAUUUUAAAGUCACGUUUUUAAAAAACUACAUCAAAAACAUAAAGUGUUUAUUUGACAGAAAUGAAAGAAACAAAGGGGUGGUAGAGAAGAGAACAAGUAACAUGUCAGAUGAAUGAAAAUAGAGAUUGUUUGAUUUGAAAAACAAUAUCUACAUAUUAUUCAUUAUUUAUAUUGCAUUUUUCUUUUGUAGAUUGUUAUUUUACUUCUUAAAAGUUUAGGCACGCACUAAUAUCAUAAAGAAAAGUGUCAAAUUUGUUUUAUUCAGACUUGUUAUCAUAGGGAAAAACUGAAAAAUAAAUAAAAAUAAAGAUAUUAAUAAUCAAAUUUAAAAUUUAAUAUUUGGCGUGGUGUUGUGGUGUCAUGUCCAGUGAUCCCAAUGAAAAAGUAAACUUCAUCAAUCACACGGAAUUCGAAGCUGUUUUUUUUUUUUUUUCUCUUGAAGAAAUACAAGGUUAACAUGUAACGUUAGAAGAUUCCACAAUUUCUUGCCUGAUUAAGAUGCAACCCAGAGCUCAAAAGCUCAUCUGGAAGAGAACAGUCAAUUUAUACAUCAAGAAAAUGUUUACACAGCAAACCAGUUUUCUACUUUGUCACUUCAAAAGUAGCUCGAAGAUCGGAUAUCAUGACUGGGCAUUCUCCCUUCUCGUCAUAGUCAGCAUAUUCUCCACUUGACAAGUCAACAUUCUCAAAUUUGGUUCCCUCAAGCUUCAAAAUUCAGCUUGCAUUAGUCAGAUAUGACCAACAUGCAGAAAAUUAUGAUAUUACCAAAAUUAUAGGACGUGUUAAAAAUAUGGCUAUAGGGUUAAAUUACAGGUUUCUGCACCAGGAAAAUAUAGCACUGUACAAUUUCGAAUGAAAUUUUAUUCAAGAGGGUAGAAAAGGGCUGUGUCUUGCAAAUUGUGAUGAUCGAAACUAUUUAGAAACUAAUCACUCUCCCAUAUGUAAUUAUAGGUUUAAUUUUUUAAGACUGGAAUAGAAGAUUUUGAGAUUAAUCACAUCAAAUUCAUCCCAGUUUUUAAGUUCUUAGAAAAACAUUACAGACAUCGUUUCCAGUAUUGAUAACAGUGAACAAAAUAAAUUGAAUCAUUAACAGUAAGCAUCAAACCAAAACAAAGGAAGCACAUGUUUCAAUGCAGAAGAGUGGGUAUAAUGAGAUAUUUACAAUGCCCAGCAUAUAUAUCAGCAACACUGAAUAAUCAGAAGAGAUCGGACACAUGAUGCCAUUAAGCUAACGUAUUUGUUUUCAAUAGAGGAAAGUGAGUAGAUGAACUAUAUAUACAAUACAAACUCAUAUGCUUACAUGUCAGAAGCAACAAUGAACAAUCAAAAGAGACCAAAUGAUGUGACAACAAAAAAAAUGGAAACAUAGAAUGAAAUUAAAAAGGAUACUCACCGAUUCAACUUUCCAUCCAUCACCGAAUACAAAAUCUACUGGUUCAUAGCCCCUGCAGUCAAAUAACAUCAAUGGGGCGUACUUCCCUGAUUCACUGAUUUCCUGGGUGAGUGGUUUACCUUUGCCUUCGAUCAUGGUUACAGUGCCAUCCCUGCCACAAAAUUUGCACUACAUACCAAAUAAAGGAUACUAAGAAACCACCAGCUGCAGGAGCAAAGAGUUUAAAGAAGCACAAAUGAAAGGAAACACUGUAUUGAGUGCUUAUCAUUUUAAAGCUAUGCAGCAGAAUCACAUAAAAUUUUUAGAACCUUUCCUAAUACGUCAGAGACAGAAAAAUAACCACAUCAGUAAAAGCCCAAUCAUGCUAAACGAAUAGAAUUCUGCUCAGUUGGUGUUUCUUUAAUGCACUUGGGUCAUAUUUGGAUAAAAUUAUCCAUAAGUAUUUAUAAGAGAAAACAUAAUCAGGUAAAAGAAUUAAGCUUCUCACAUAAACUUCAACAGAAAGCUCUUUUCAUUUAACUUUUCAAAAGCCUAAGGCACAUAAGUUCGUUCGUUUUAGAUUAUAGAGAAGUUCAAGUCAUUUUACAUUUUACCUCUUUUUUCAACUACAAAUAUUUAUAGAGAAGUUUAUCCAAAUAUAGUUUUAUUUCACCUAAUAGAAAAAAAAAAGUCGAUGAACCCUAACAGUGAAGAUGCAAAUUCUAGUAUAGUGGAGAGUUUCACUUGUCUUUUCUACCGUUCAUAAAUACAUCAUAAAAGGGACACACUUAAAAAUUAUAUAUCUCUAAAAGUAAACACGUAGCAUUAUGAAUUGAGAAAAACUGUUUUUUGAUAGCCAAUGAGAAAAAGAUUUUAUGCACUAACAGUAUAAGAUCACUUCAAUGGUAUGUUUACAUUGUGCACUAUCUUUCAAACAUUAACGAAACUAAGUUUGUUACUUUUCCCCAUAGUCAUCUUAAAACUCAAACCAGCAACAGUUUAUGAUUGGAUAACGAUGUAAAACUAUUUUAAAGGUGUGCAUGAUUACUAAAUUCUUGUCAACAUAUACAAAGAUGAAAAUCACAAGAGGUUCCUAAGGCCAUUAAUUCCGAUGAGGAAUGCUGAGAUAAAUUUUAUCAGAAAUCAUCAGAAGAGACUAAUUCAAAAAGUAGCCAAAUUUUGUGAUUACCAAUAAACUAUGUGAGAGUAAUAAGAACUUGAACUGAUAAAUGUGUAAGAGACUCAUGCGAGAAUCAAUCACAAUCUUUCAGGGACUAUUAAAUAAACGGAUUUAUUGAAUUGGGAAAUGAAAAAACUAUUGAUGAAACGCGAGCAAAGGGUGAAUCAAUUAGGUUACCUUUUGAAUGAGAUGAGUGGUGCCCUUUCCAACCGGAAGAGGAACGGUGUCGUUUAAGAGGACGCAUGUUUCUUUCUGGCUGAUUUCUCCGCAUCUCCCACAUUUCAACUAUUGAUUGCAACAACAGAACGAAAAUGAAGAUCUGAAAGAAACUAAAAAAAGUUGAAUUUGAUAAAUUGGAAGAGAUGAAGGAGAUAGAAAGAAACCUUGAAAAAGUAGGAGAAAUUGGGAUCAUCGCAGCCACCUUGGGGUUGAAGAUUGGUGAGAUUCUCAAGCUCCGCAGUGAUCAUCAACGUGAAGUUCACCAUUUCUCUCUCUGACACAGGAACACUUCUGCUUCGGGUAUUUUGAUGUUUUGGAUGAUUCUAGACAGUAUAAUACGAGAGUAAUAGAUUCAUGUAACUAAAUUAUUACUACAUAUUUAUUAAUAUAUAAUUGUAGUAUAGUUAAAUGGUAAUAAAAAUGUUUUUAAUAUGUAAACUAUAUUUUCAAUUUAAAAUGAAAAAAAUAUCUAUUGUAAUUUUUGUUUUAGGAGUGUCUCGAUUAUCUAUUAUAUUAUGGUUGUAUAUAUAUUUUAUUCUUUUAGGUCUUAUUUAUUUCCAUGGAUUUGAUAGAGAUUAAUUGAGUGGAUUUAAGAAAAUUUGAAGGUAAUUUUUUAUUAUUGUUUAUUUGCAUGAAUUUAGAGGCAAAUGAGAGUGAAUUUGGAAAUAAAGUUUGCGAGAAUUAGUAUAUAAUUUAAUUUAUGUGAUAGAUUAAAAAAUUUACUUCCAAAUCCACUUUCACUUAUCUUCAAAUCUAUUCAAAUAAACUAACAACAAAAAAUUCAUCUUCAAAUCUUCUCAAAUCUUUUCAAUUACUCUCCUCCAAAUUCAAGUGAACAAAACCUUAAUUAAAUUAUAUUAAGAUUUUCUUCAUUCAUGAUUAUUAAUGAAAUUAAUCAACAUGACAAACUAGAUAAAAUAUUAUAAAGAGUAAAUAAACACUGAGUAUCAAUUGCAAAAAGAGAAUAAUGAGAAUAAUUAUUCUGAAUUAUUCUCUCUUUUACUAAUAACUCCAAUAACUCCCAUAGUUUUAAUUGGAAACACAAAAAAUAUAAUUUGUAAAAUAUAUAUUUUUGAAAUAUAAAAAGAUUAGUAUGAAAUAGUUGAAAAAGAGAAAUAUUAACUGAGAUAAAGUGUAAAAUAUAUAUUUAAAAGAGAGGAUGAAGAGGAUAUUAAAAAUAAUGUAAAUGAUGAAUUUGAUUUAUUGUUAAAUUUGUUCUUAAAAGUACAUUUUAACAAUAAAGAUUGAGUCAUAUUUCAGAAAAAAUGUUUGAAAAAUUAAAUUCAUCUUGAAAAUUAAAAAAAAAAGUCAAAAUAUCAAGAAAAAUUAUAUAACGAAAAUUUGUAUCUAUAUAACAGUUUCUCAUAUUUCAUGUGAAGAAGGUACUUGUACCUAGGACAAAAGAAAAUUCAAUUUGUAAUAUUUUCUCUUAAUUUUAAUUUUGGUUUCUAUAGCUUUAGAAUUUUGCAAUUCUCGUCCCUUUAUUAUACAUUUAUGGAUUUAAGUCCAAUAUAAUAUUAAAACUAUUUACUUAUAUCUUAUUUGCUAAUUAUAUGUUUAAAAGUAUUUCUUAUAUACAUGCUUAAGUAAUAUUAUUUUCCAAAAUCACUUCACCUUAAACCAAUUAUUAACCAAAAUCAAAUUUACAGCUCAUUUAAACACACAAACAAAUGGUUGAAUUGAAAUUGGAGUCAUUUCAAAUCUCUCACCCUUAUACUAAAAUAAUUCAUUUAAUAUUUUAACAUUUAUAAUUGAUGAAAUCAAAAUAAAAUAAAAAAAGUUAGUCAACCUCCUAGUAUAAAUUAAUAAUGUGUAACAUAAUAAUAUUUUUAUUUUGAUAUAAUUUAUAAGAAAUAUAUAUUAUAUAUAUUUUUUUGGGUUUCUUGCUUUAAAAGUUUUAAUUUUUACAUAUUAUUAUUUUGAUAUAAUCUAUAGGAAAUAUAAUAUAUAUACAUACAUAUAUAUAUAUAUAUAUAUAUAUAUAUAUAUAUAUAUAUAUAUAUAUUUGCUUUAAAGGUUUACUUAUUAAAAUGUGUAUGUUGAUUAACUUUAUACAUUUUGCAUUAAUGACAAGUAAACUAUGUUAAUUGUGUUCAUGAUAGCAAGUCUAUAAAGAAAAGAAAAAAAAAAAAACCCAAACUCACUAGUGGGCCAGACCAAACUUGAUUACACUUGAUCCACGAGCACCUCAAGUAAUUGUGGGUUUUCGUUUUCUGCACCCGAAGAUUACUAAAUGAACCUAUGCAUUAUCUAUUUUUUACAUAGGUAUGAAUUCAUGGUGUAAACAUAAGUUGAAUGACUCAGACGGUAACUCAUGCAGACACUACUACCUAACUUAUAGUUAAACCAUUAAUGUAUAUAAUUCAUGACCUCAAUUCACGAAUAAAUUGCAUAUCUUCAAUUUCAGUGUCGUGACUCACUUUGCAACAUACAAAAAUUAUCAUUGCUAAUUGAAAUUUGAAUGGGAAAAGUGUUGCACUUUUCUGCCAUGAGAUCCACAAUGUUCAUUCUCUUAUGGCUGCUAACCACAGUCCAUGGUGGCUCUCUAUCAAGACUCAAGAUUUUGGAAGUUGAGAGAAAAUUAAAGUAUCUCAGAAGACAUUCCUUAAAAACUAUCAAGGUAAUUAAAUCUAUCUUAAUCAUCCUUCUAUUGGGUUUUUCUUAAUGUUGUUAAACACCUAAUUAGUUCUGUAAUUAAUCAGCCAUUUGAUCAAAUCAGAUAUAUACAAAGUUAAAGUUUACUUAUGUUUAUAAUUUUGUAGACUAGAAAGAUGAUUUUGAUCCUUUUUAAAGACUAAACACAUAAUUAAGUCUUGAUUUAUCAUAACAUCAUUUUUUUUCAUGUUUGUAGAGUGAAGAUGGAGAUGUAAUUGAUUGCAUUGCCAUUAAUAAACAACCAGCAUUUGAUCAUCCAGCAUUGAAGAAUCACAAAAUUCAGGUAAGUUACAUUUUAUUUAUGACUAUUGUCAUUCAAUAAUCUCAUAUUAUUUAAAAAAAAUUAAUUUAAAUAUAUUUUUUUCCUUCAUCCCUCUUAAUACGUAUAUAUCAGAUGGCUCCUACUCACCUAACAGCUGGAUCAAGAACUUCAAGAAAUGGAAAAAAUGCAAAUGAAUCUUUGAGUGUGACUUCACAAGUGUGGCAGAAAAGUGGAAAAUGUGGAAAGGGAACAAUACCAGUUAGAAGAAUAAGAAAAAGAGAGCUAUUGAAGGCUCAUUCAAUUGAAGAAUAUGGAAGGAAGAAGCCAAGCUUCUCUCACCAUCAACAUGCUGAACUGAAUAAGAAUCUUGAUUCCUUUGUUCAACUUAAAAACCACUCUGUAAGUUUUGUUAUACUAAUUGCACUAUAUAUUCAAUACCACAAUCACAAGUUUUAUGUCAUUUCUAAAAUAGUAGUUGGAAGUCCAUAUGGACUAGAAAUAAAACCAUUUAAGUAUAUAUAAGUAGAUGCAAACCUCAUCCUAUAAACUGUUUUUGUGGGGUUGAGUUAGGCUUAAAACUCACUUCUAACAACAAUAAUAUCAUAUUUAAACAAUCUUUUUUUGUUUUUCACUAUCUUCUUUACUCACAUUUUAUGUGAAACAGAAGGCAAUAUUGUUUACAGUUGGUUACCGUUAUUUGGGAGGAAAAGCAGAUCUGAGAGUGUGCAACCCUUUUGUUGAAAAGGAUGAUGAAUACAGCAUUACUCAAGUCGCUCUCUUAACAGGCCCAUACAAUGACUUUGAGUCUGUUCAAUCUGGUUGGGCAGUAAGCAUUUCUCUCUUUAUACAUCUUUCUUACUUUAAAAACUAAAGAAAAAUAAUUUUUUUAACAACCUUUUUACAAUCAUUUACGUGUUAGUUUUUUUACAAUCAUUUACAUAUUAGUCUCUUUCAAAUAUACGAAAAAAUAAAAAUAGUGACACAUAAUCUGUUGUAACAUGUUUUUAAAACUUGCAACAGGUGAAUCCUAGUGUAUAUGGAGAUAGACAAACUCGAUUAUUUGUAUACUGGACGGUCAGUUUUGCAAUUCCAUCAACCCUAAAAUUGAACUUAACUAUCUGUUACAUUAUAUUUCAAUUCUUUUAAUCUCUAUAAAAUGAGGAAGAUUUAAUUUUAAACAGCAUGUUUUGCAGGCUGAUGGUUCAAAGAAAAGUGGUUGUUUUGAUCUAACCUGUCCUGGGUUUAUUCAGACAAGCAAUGAGAUUGCCUUGGGUGCUGCUAUACAUCCAAUCUCAAUUCCUGCUGACCUUCCAUACGUAAUAACAAUUUACAUCUUUAAGGUUAGUCAUAUGUUUCGUUAUAAGGGAAAUCAUAUAUAUAAUAUUUUCCAAACACUCUAGAAAACUAAAAAAAAAGUAAAUUUUUCUUAUUAUUUUUCUUAGAUAAAUUUAGGAUUUGUCAGUGAUUUGGUUUUUAUAUUUAAAUUUUUUAUUAAUUUUGUUUAUAUUUAUUGUUGAUUCAAUUAAUUUCUUUAUUUGUGUAAAAAGAUUUGAUGUGUCUCUUAGGUUAUAUUGAUAUUAACACUGUUUUGAAAUAUAUAGUAUUAAAACUUAAGUUUAUUAUGUGUCAAAUUUAGGUUAUUUUUUAUCUUGAAAUUCUCUUAUUUUAAUAUGUGACAUCUUUCAAGAAAAAAAUAUUCAAAUUUUGAUAUUUGACAAACUCAGAUUUUAACAAAAAUAAUCACAUCGAGUAUUUUUUAUAAAUAUAAGAACUUUGAGUUUUUUUUUUUAUUUUAUUUUAAACAUAGGACUUAGUUGAGUAAAAAAAUAUAAAAAUUAAAAUAAAUCAAAAAUAUAAAUAUAGAAAUCAAAUUAUUAAUUAAGUCAUAAAAUACACUAUUUUCAAAAAAAGGUAAAAAAAAAGUAAGAGAAAUGAGAAAACAAAAAAUUAUUACUUUUCUUAAUUAAGUUUAAGUUUGUUAAAGUGGAGAUUCAUAAGAGAGAAACUACACAAUAUAAAUUUAAUUUAUUGACACACUUCUAACUUAAAAUAUUAAUUAAAUAAAUUUUAGAUUUUUUUUUUCUAAUAUAUUGUUGAACUUUAUCAUUUUUAUUCAGCAUGAAACUUAAACUUAUAUUAAAUAUUUUUUCUUUUAAAUGUGAAUUCUUUCAUAUUAAUACAUUUCAUUGAAUUAUUCACACUUGCAUUUCCAAUAAAGUGAGCAUCAUAAAACACUUCAAAUUAUUCAUAAAUUUAAGGAAUUUGAAUUUAAUAAGUCAUGAAGUUGAAAUCAACCUAUAUGAAGAGACAUUAAGAUACCAUCAAAUCCAAAACAUUAUGAAUUUAGGUUUGUAUAUAUUUUUUUCUUUAUAUAUUAUUCAUUUCACUUGUCUCCACCUAACAUGAACUCUCAAGAAUUGUUAAAGUAUAAAAGAUAAACUUUUCCUAAUUUAUUUUUCUUUAUGGUUCUGAUUUGCAUUAGGAUCCCUAUACCAACAAUUGGUGGGUGCAAUAUGGUGAGAAGACCUACAUAGGUUAUUGGCCACCGGAGUUGUUUAAAACAAUACUUUACAAUGCACAAUCUGUGGAGUGGGGUGGUGAAGUUUACAGUACAAGCAUUGGACAAACUCCUCACACAGCAACACAAAUGGGCAACGGCCAAUUUGCUUCAGUUUUGGAGUUUUCAUCUGCAAUAACAAGAAUGAGAAUUCAUGACAACUCUGAAUUCUUGAAAAUCCCAGAAUUGGUUUAUGAUUAUUCUGAUGAAUAUAAUUGCUAUGAUGUUUGGUACAUGUCAGAUUACAUUGAUGAUCCUCAAUUCUAUUAUGGGGGUCCUGGUAGAAAUCCAAAGUGCCCUUAACUUAUUCAUAAUUAAUGCUUCAACCAAUUACAUGUUAUAGGAGAUAAUGUAUUCAAUAUUUUGGUAACAUUUUUCUGUUAAGUUUUUGCAGUAACAAUGCUAUUUAACUGUGUCAAACACCAGUAUCCACAUUUCAAUCUAAUGCGAACCUUUUUCAGCUAGUAAAAUGAAAAUGUAGUGCACAGGGAGAGAACAUCCACUAAUAUUGCAUUUGAUUAUUUUUAACAUUCCAUACAGUUACAACAAUAUCUACAAACGAAUAUGCUGUAACAAGGACAAAAACAACAGAAAAAGUGAAUAAAGUAGCAAGAUAAUACAUAUAAAACAACAACAAAGUACAGGACUUGACGCACUGUACAAACUCAUCUCGAAGCCUGUCUUGUGCCACAUUUAGACAACACAUGUCCCAUUUUCACUUCCAACAGAGUUUAGUAUUUAUAGCUUUUGAUUUUCACAUUUCUGAAGCAGAACAGAACCAUAAAACAUGACUACACUAAAUCAUGCUGCUUUCUCUCUUCUUGAAUGGAUUGAAAUAUUCUAGCAGCUGAUUCUGUCGCGGAUUUCCCGUUGUGUGGAACGACUUUGAUGACUUGUGUUUGCUGUUUGGUUUCAACAGAGUGAAGAGAAAGAGAAUGUGCAUCACUUCCUUCAGCAAUGUUCCCUGUUCUGAUUUCCUGUGGUGUUUCACUAGGAGUGCUUGCUGUGCUCCCUUGUAAUCGUCUCUCCUUGGACACGCGAAGUUUCUUGACAUGUGACACGGCUCCAUUCCUCUGAACUGGCAAGUUGGAUGAGCUUUGGUUAUGUUGAGUGUUAAAACUGGCUCCCUCAACUGAUGAAUGACCAUUUUGAACAUGAGAACCUUGUCCGGCAUACUGGUUCACAUGUUCCACAGCUGACCCUGUUGCUGCUUGAUUCACUACUUGCAUGCCGUAGGGGGAGAAGUAGGUGUGGUUGGGCAGAGAAACAAACGGUGACACCCCGACUACUUGAUGAGAAGCUGGAAAUUGAAAGGCAGGAUUCAUGAAAGUAGCCCCGAGAGGUGCUUGUCCGAAUGGCCCGCCACAUCCUGCAGGAUUCGUUCUGGUAAAUGUCGGCCCGGGAUAUGGCUUGUAGACAAGCCCUUCGGAAGGAGACAUGAUAGGAAUUAACCACUGAUGUUGAGGUGAUUGAUUGAAACUCCAGGGACUUGUUCUAUUAUCGGAAGCCACAUCUGCCUGGUGUGGAAUUCCUGAAAAAGGGGUGUGAUUUGUAAGGUGGCUACCAUUUUUUGGGGACGAAAAUGAGGUUUUCUUCUCAACUGCAUUCUCAGCAGAACAUUCUGUUUUAAGGUUCUGCUUUUCAGAAUUGUUUUUCUGCUUAGGAGUUUGUUGCUGGGGGUUUACGACAACUUGCAAUGAAAUGGUUUUGGGAGUAGACCCCUCCAGAGGAAAUUUCCCCAAGAAAGCACCAUCUUCAAGCAAAACAUCUGGGGAUGAAGCAAUCAGCUGUUGAACCUGUUUAAAUAAAAAGAAUUAAUGUGCGAAUGUGUAUGCACAGACUUGAAGGGUGAAUCUCCAUGUCUGUGUGGAAGUACAUGCAAUAAAAGUUAACACGCUUCCCAUUUCGGGCUAGCAGAAGAGAUCAAUUUUACCUUGAUCAGUCUGUGCAAUUCAAACACUUGGACAGCAAACACUCUCUGUUGACUGUAGAGAGGAAUGGGAGUUCAAUCAAGAAAAUUACACAAUACUCAUCCAAAAGGUAAAAACUCCUCUAAAGUACAAGUGUUUUACACACUUUCUUACUUUGAAGGAGCCACAUAAGAAUAUACCUCACAGCAAUUGCUUAAUACUCAUCCAAAUGGAUAAAGCUCCUCUGAAGUAAAAGUACUUUUACAUAGUUUCGUACUUUGAAGGAGCCAAGUAAAAUAUCAUACAGAUGGCAAAUACGAAUAUAGCUCAUGGAAGACAAACACAUUUCAUAAUUCAUAUGAAAUAGUUGUGUAAUUUACUUGUUUCUGGUUAAAGACUGCACUCAACCAUGAAGUUUAAAGCGUGCAAUGUAACAUAGCCAUCUUCUUUUUUAGACAUAUGGAUAACAAAUCAUAUAAAAGAUAUCUCAUGCAUAUGAACUAUUAUAUGGCUACUUAAGCUAAAUGUCCCAACUUGAACACAGAAAUUAAGACACUGACAAAUGGGAGAAGAAAAAAAGAGAGCAACAUUCCCCUUGUUAUAAGUAUAACAUCUAUUAACAACUCAUCCCAGCAUCAUAUACUCUCCAAUUGUCCCUAUACUCCGUUGGAUCAUCCUGCAUUUCUCAGUCCCCUUCUUAGCCCAAGUCCUUCAGUGCAGCAAGGGCAAGUGGUACAGUAAGGAAACUCGCCCCAGUGGUCACAUGGAGAACCAAGUAAGAGGAAACCAAGAAAUGAAUAUUUCCAAAGAGUGAAAUGAUCCGUUAUCAGCCUGUCAUAAGGUUAACCCUUCGACACAGUACAAUAUUUUAAGACUGCUCACCAUCCUGUUUUAAGACGAUCCAGUAUCCACCAUUAAAAAUUUAUUAAGAACUUUGAACAUACAAAAAACCAAUUUAGAAGGGACCCCAAGAUGAUCAGAUUUUCUUUCUUCAGAGCCACAUUCGCUACUCCUCGAAUGAAAUGUAAAUAUACAGGUUAUUUACCUAGUGUAGGAUGUAAAGCAUAAACCAAACAAAUGCAGUUCUACAGUUUUAGAUACAAGAGAAAGGAAAAAUACCUUCAUUGAGUGGCAAUAGGGAAAAGGUUUAACAUAGCUUAGCAACAAGUUGACUUUUUUCUAUGAUAACUUCAUAAUAUACAUAAAUCACAAAUACCAUCCAGAUGAAGCAUGUAGAAAAACAGUAUCAUAAAUUAGUGAGAAGUUUCACGAGGAAAUAGUUGAAAUUUGAAAUCACCACACCACAGAAAAACCUGCUGCUAACCAUCAACAUGACUUACUUGGCAAUUUUUCGCCUUGCUUUCCAGAAAUGUUUUUGACCUAAUAUCCCUACAACAUCAUCAGGAGAAACUAUCAGGCUUGAUAAAUUUGUUACCGUGGAGAUCUUCGAGACAUCACCACUUCCAUCAAAAUUUCCCUUCUGUAAUGGACCUUCAGUACCAACAUCAUGAUAUUCAACAUCAACACCAUCGGUAACCUCAACUGGACAGGUUUGGUUUACUGCAGAAUGAAAACAGCUUUUUGGUACAAGGGCAUUUCCAUUAUCCAUAUCCCUUGUAGAGUUAAGGAGAUCAACGUCAGCGGAUUGGUGCCCAGCCACACAUUCCUGCUGUAGACAACCACCAUCCUGAUGUAACCUGCUUAUACUUGGGACAGAACAAUCCUGAUCCUCUUGAUUUGGAAUCACCUUGGCUUGCAUCACUAGACUGUCAAUAACUUCUCCACUUGAUUUGUUUUUAACAGACAUUUUUGGUUGCUGUCUACUUGAGCUUACAUGUGGAUGUGUCUCAUUCCCACUCCUCACAUGCUUUCUCAUGUCAACAGGAAGGGAACCAAAUUGUGCUGGAUCUCUUUCACCAUCAUUUUGCACUGAAACUGAGCAAAAAUUACCACCACCCAAAGGAGUGAAUUUUUUCCUAUUGAUCGCUUUAUCAUUAGAGUGACCAAUCCUUGAGCAAAUGUAUGCAUGAACAUCAUCUUCGUCUGCUCUCUUUCUCCUUUCUAGCUGCACCAAUGAAGUAUUUGAUCUCGAUCCAUCAGAUUGGCGAGAAACAUAACUUUCAGCUCGAUGAGCAGGUGUUUGCGAAGGUAAACGAACUGGGUAGCCAUAACUUCUCUCAUGCCCACUUCCCUGAAUAUAUAUUAAUUCUUAUUAGAAAUUAACACAAAUUCAUUUGCAAACCUUCACCAAACAACUCAAUUUAUAGGCGUAUUUUUUCAAAUCUUACACUAAAACAACAAACUCCAAGGCAUAUCAUAAAAAGGUUCAUCGUUAAGAAUCCCCUAAAUAGCUAAAUUCCUUAUUUAAGCCGAACACGAUCUGAUAAGAGGUGAUUCGAUAAACCCAACAUAAUAUCUUAGAAUUUGAGAUUUGACCUAACCCAAUCCUGCAAAACUGAGUUAUGAGACAAAGGCUACCCCUAAUGACAUACUAUCUUAAUUCUUUAUCUCUAAUUAAAGUUAGACUUGCUUUUUCCCCAAAAAUCUCAAGCUUAAGUUAAGCAAGUAAACCACAACAACACAAACAUUUUCCAACUUAGAUUAAGCAAAAAUAAAAAUUGAAUGAAGAACAAAUACACAGAAGCCAAUCCUCACCUGGGUUGAGGAAGUUGGUGGAGCAACUAAGUUAGAAGAUGAAUUUGGUUUGAGUGGCAGAAGGCGUGGAUUGAACCUCUGAGAGGGAACACUGAGUUGUUCAUAGAGGGCCAUCUUGUUCCUUGGUGGUGCUCUUGGCCCUCCUUUCUCUGCAUCAUUUACAUGCAGCCUCGGAAACAUUGGCCCUGCCACCUUCUCAUCGUCGUUCCCUCUCUUCAUCUUAUCGAAAAAUCUCUUCUUUUUCUUAUCCCAAUUUGCACCCACAAAGAGAAAAAAGAGAAGGAAUAUCUGAAUCGAAUCUGAAAGCAAAAUCUAGCAAGAACCCAGAUGGGGCAACGAACUGUGAUCAGAAAGCGAAGUACGGAAGAAAAAACGGAACAGAUGAGUUAGGGAUUCUCCACAGACAUUGCUCCGAGGUAAUAGAAAGAGAGAA
rnacentral:lncRNA from 1 species